GAUGAACGCUGGCGGCAUGCCUAAUACAUGCAAGUCGAGCGAACAGACGAGGAGCUUGCUCCUCUGACGUUAGCGGCGGACGGGUGAGUAACACGUGGAUAACCUACCUAUAAGACUGGGAUAACUUCGGGAAACCGGAGCUAAUACCGGAUAAUACAUUGAACCGCAUUGUUCAAUAGUGAAAGACGGUUUUGCUGUCACUUAUAGAUGGAUCCGCGCCGCAUUAGCUAGUUGGUAAGGUAACGGCUUACCAAGGCAACGAUGCGUAGCCGACCUGAGAGGGUGAUCGGCCACACUGGAACUGAGACACGGUCCAGACUCCUACGGGAGGCGGCAGUAGGGAAUCUUCCGCAAUGGGCGAAAGCUUGACGGAGCAACGCCGCGUGAGUGAUGAAGGUCUUCGGAUCGUAAAACUCUGUUAUUAGGGAAGAACAAAUGUGUAAGUAACUAUGCACGUCUUGACGGUACCUAAUCAGAAAGCCACGGCUAACUACGUG
rnacentral:rRNA from 1 species